GGUAGCCGGCCUGAGAGGGCGACCGGCCACACUGGGACUGAGACACGGCCCAGACUCCUACGGGAGGCAGCAGUGGGGAAUAUUGGGCAAUGGAGGAAACUCUGACCCAGCGACGCCGCGUGCGGGAUGAAGGCCUUCGGGUUGUAAACCGCUUUCAGCAGGGAAGAAGCGAAAGUGACGGUACCUGCAGAAGAAGCACCGGCUAACUAUGUGCCAGCAGCCGCGGUAAUACAUAGGGUGCAAGCGUUGUCCGGAAUUAUUGGGCGUAAAGAGCUCGUAGGUGGUUCGUCACGUCGGAUGUGAAACUCUGGGGCUUAACCCCNGACCUGCAUUCGAUACGGGCGARCUUGAGUAUGGUAGGGGA
rnacentral:rRNA from 1 species